UGUCCCCUUUCUCUUCCAGGGGAAUUCAAACGGCAUUGCUUCUGUGGAUGUUUCAGCUGGCUUUGUUGGGCUAAACGACUAUGUAGAAAUUCCUGCCAUUUUUCUUACUGCACUUGCAACAUACUCGGGCCCCCUGCUAUGGGCCAUUCAUCUGUUGUGUUAUUUGAGUUCUGAAGUGGACAGGAAUCCUGCAGCGAUUGGGCAUGGCUGUUUCUGUUACGCCCUGUUGCGUUCCAUCCCAGUUGCGGUAUAUAUUAUUCUGAUCACGGGACUGCGAUACCAUCUCUUUAUCUGGAGCGUCUUUUCACCGAAACUUCUCUAUGAGGGAGUACACACUUUCAUCACAGCAGCUGUGUGCGCUUUCUUUACAGCGGUGGAUCACCAGCGGCGGAGAGACUGAAAUCACUGGCCAGGCAGAAUUUUACAGUGGAAUGAACAUUCUUGCUGCUAGACUCCCAAUGAACUCCAGAAAUUAGUCUUUGAUUUAUUUUUCCCCCCUGUUUUUCUUGGCAAACUCAUUUCAUGCCUUGGCUAUGGGCAUGACAAAACCAUCCUGAAGUGACACUUGAAGUGUCGGUGGCUGGGAGAGAGAAUGGCCAGGUUAGCUUUGUUGUAUGAAUGUUGUACAAUCACCUGCUUCCCUUUCCAGUGUCAGAUAUAGUGCCUUUCUAAAUUUGGAAUCCUUAUACUGGGAUCUGAAGCAGGGCGAACUUUGGAGUAUGCUGGAAUGUAAUUAGGUUUAACUACAAUUAAAAAUCUACACUGACCACUUCCGUA